rnacentral:rRNA from 1 species
GAUGAACGCUAGCUACAGGCCUAACACAUGCAAGUCGAGGGACCGGCGCACGGGUGCGUAACACGUAUCCAUCCUGCCCUUUACUCGGGGAUAGCCUUUCGAAUGAAAGAUUAAUACCCGAUCUUAAGGAUGGGGAUGCGUUACAUUAGGGUGUUGGUGAGGUAACGGCCCACCAAGCCUUCGAUGGAUAGGGGGUCUGAGAGUAAGGUCCCCAACAAUUGAACUGAGACACAGUCCACACUGCGACGGGAGGCAGGAGAGAGGAAUAUAAGGGAAGAGGCGGUAGCCUGAACCAGCCAAGUGGCGGAAGAGGUGAAGGCUUAGGAGUCGUAAGCUUCUUGUAUAUAAGAAGAUGUAUUAUAUGAAUAAGGAUCGGCUAACUACGUGCCAGCAGCCGCGGUAAUAC